CAAACCCUGAACGAUUAUUACAGUUUUCAUAAUACAACCCGGAAGACUUUAUUUUAUUAUAUUUUAUUUAUUCACCUAAUUUCUCCACCUAAUUUCUCCACCUAAUUUAUCCACCUACUCUUCCACAUCCACCUACUCUUCCACCACUACACUCUUUUUCCCCCACCACUACUCCUACCUCCCCACCACUACAUUCCAUAUUACACUUAGCAAGACAAAGCACACUUCAUUUUCUUCCUCACACUUCACUCUCGGCUCUCACUCAAUCUCUCUCACUAUACUCUCUUUUCCUCCAUUGAUGUCCAUUGAAGAAAGCUUAGAGAAGCUUCAUCAAACACUACUAUGAGAUAAUCCACCAUCCAAUCCAAUCAAAUACUAUCAUAUUUCAUCAAAUUCAAGAAGCUAGAGCUAAGAUCAAAGUUGGAGCAAAGUCUUGAUCACCUUUUAAAUCCUUGAGCUUUGUGACCAGGGGAAUUAGCGCUGUUUUCCCAAGACAGGUUUUUAUGUGUAUGAUCUUCAGGCUUUGCCUAUCCAGGUGGGCUUACUUUCCAAAUGUACAAAGUAUGAUUGAGUUAUUAAGCUCUAAAUGUUUUCAAUGAAAUGCAAAUUGUUUAUUUAAUGUAAUGAAAACUGUUUAUCCAAUAAAAUAUUUUGUGCACUCUGCUCUGUUUAAGGCUCGCAUAAGUUAAUCGAUCGAGGUUCUCUUAUGACCUAACACGUUGUUUGAGAAUUGUGUACACCUAUUAGCUGACCUGGUGGGUUGAUCUCCAUCGGGCACUAAUCAUGUAUGAGGCGUUAUAAGGGUGCUCGACGGGAUGUGUUCCGGAGCAUUGGGUCCCAAAUGGGAACUUGACUGGGUUACGCCCUCAGUUCAAGUAAAGCGGGAGAUAUGGAUCCGUCGGUGGCUAAAAGGUCCGGGAUCACAGCGAGUAACGGAAAGGGAGUGUGACAUGUGCGCACAAAUGAAAAAUGUUUUAACAUGCUUAGAAAUUAUUUCAUUUUAAAACCUUCUAAGUCAUGUCAAGUAUAAUUGGAUAAACUGCUCUUACGAAAAUAUGAAAUGUUUAUGAAAAUGCAUGCCCACUAAGUACAUUAGUACUUAGCCCAAAAAUACUUUCAAAUGUUUUCAGGUUGGCUGGCUGGUGCUGACGGGACGGAGCUGAGGCUAGAGUUAAAAUUCAUAUGUUAGACUUCCGCUGUAGCAAUUACUCUUAUACAUCUUUUGUUUUCUCAACUUAAGAUGACUUCAUGUCGAGCUUAAAUUUGAAAUUCUAGUUUUAUGCUAAUGAAUGUUGGUUGUCAGAAGCAUGAAACAAAACUUGUGAUCCAAAGGGGCAUAGCCCGACUUUCUAUCCUA